rnacentral:rRNA from 1 species
UUUAGCAUGGAAUAAUAAAAUAGGACGUGUGGUUCUAUUUUGUUGGUUUCUAGGACCGCCGUAAUGAUUAAUAGGGACAGUCGGGGGCAUCAGUAUUCAAUUGUCAGAGGUGAAAUUCUUGGAUUUAUUGAAGACUAACUACUGCGAAAGCAUUUGCCAAGGAUGUUUUCAUUAAUCAGGAACGAAAGUUAGGGGAUCGAAGACGAUCAGAUACCGUCGUAGUCUUAACCAUAAACUAUGCCGACUAGGGAUCGGACGGUGUUAUUUUUUGACCCGUUCGGCACCUUACGAGAAAUCAAAGUGCUUGGGCUCCAGGGGGAGUAUGGUCGCAAGACUGAAACUUAAAGAAAUUGACGGAAGGGCACCACCAGGGGUGGAGCCUGCGGCUUAAUUUGACUCAACACGGGGAAACUCACCAGGUCCAGAAAUCUAGA